rnacentral:tRNA from 1 species
AGCCCGGUGGUGUAGCGGUCAAGCAUGGCAGGCUCUGGACCUGUCGAUCGGGAGUUCGAAUCUCCCCCGGGCUACCA